AUUUUCUUUUGCAUUUAUAUAUACGAACUUUAUUAUUUUGUGCUUUAUUAAUUGGCAACAUCCUAGGCAUUAAAUUUUCUUAAUGCACGUGUGAAAUGUAUGAAAAAUGUAUUGGUUAAAAAAUUGCCCAAAUAGCUUUUGACCUUCCAAAAGAAGUAGGAUAGGAGAUCAAAAACAGUAGAAGUGCUUUAUAGUAUGAUAAAUAUGAAAUUUUGGUGGCUGGAAAGUCUCCUAGCUUGAUGGCCUAAUUUUUUGAGAAUAUGGUAAAUUAUUCACUAGAAUGUUUUAUUAUGUUCUUAUAAUAAAUUCAAUAUAGGUCUAAGUACGUUAAAUUUAGGCUUUUCUGUAAGAACUUUAUGGAUAAUGUUUAGUGAUGAGUAUGGUAUUUAUUAAUUUUAUUCCUAAUUAUGAUUUAGCUAUUUAUAUGUUGCCAUAAAGUUCCUUCUAUAACCAUAUGAGAAGAUAUUUUAUCUUUGCAUACAUUAUAAUAUUAGUGAUAACGUCUUGUGUUUGUAAUCCAGGAAGCUUCUAUAUAUGUUAUGGGGGAUACUAUUCCCAACUUAUGAUUAAAUUGACAUACUUUUAUUUUCCAUAUGGCCAUAUAUUUUUUAGAUAUCAUGUUGUCCAUAAUAUGAAGCCGACAGUCAAGUGUCUUGUUUGCCCAUAGUUUCAUCAGUGUGGUGCUGAAUUAGCGGCCUUUAAUUUACAUUAUGAUCUUCAUAUAGCCGGUUACCUGGGUAUUUCACGAUUUCUGCAUGUUUUAGUUUUAUCUAUAUAUGAAUUCAGACCAUAAAUAGUUGAUUGACUGUUCGCAUUGAUAAUUUGAUUGUAUUUACAAUUUAAAUUUUUAAAAUGAAUUGGAAAGGCUAAUCACUAUUGCAUUCUUUCCAUGGAUGGGAACAGUUUGGCUUUCAUUUGGCAUUUGGAUGACUGAAAAAUGGCCUGAUGCUCGUUUUUGCCAUCAAUUUGAUGUAUUAUACUAUGCUUUACUGUAGGGCACUCAUAAAUAUCCAUUAUAGUUAAAUGAGUACCUGGCAAGUGUGGCCAAUGAAGGAAGUUAGGAUCAUUCUUCUUUUAAUAAUAUAUGUUUUCUUGCAUCAGCUACUUCUUAUCAUAAUGAAGGAACAAAAUCUUCACCCUAACAAACACUAGCAGCACAAGUCUCAUAUUUGGAUGUGUGCCAAUAUCAGGUUGUCCUGGCUGUUUGUGUGUUCUUUAAUGUUUCCCUUUGAAGUGAAUUAAGAACAACUUUCUCUGAAAUCCCUAUGAUGUUUGAAUGUUAUGAAGAUAUGUUUAUACCAGCUUUGAAUCAGGCCUAUAACUGGUAGAUCAUGAUUUUCUGUGGAGAUUGAUUUGGUGAUGCUUGUUUUGUGCAUUUCUCCACCUUCCCCUUUUAACAUAAUUCUUUUAUGCUAUAUUUUAUUCAUUACUCUUGGCUAAUUAUUUGAAAUGAAGUGGAAAAAAAAAUUCUGGAAUCUCUUAAUUGGUGUAAGUCCUUCGUUAUAGUGUUUGCAUGAUUAAUUUUUUUUUAUUCAUAUGGGCUUCUCCCUCUGAUGAUGAAUUGUGGUUUUUGUGAUAUUUUGUUAUCUUUCAAAUUCAUUUUAAUCAUGAAAAUUCUAUUAAUAAAUUUUCAUAUGUUGUGACUGAUUUUGGUGGUUAUCCUUUUGUUCUUACAAUUCCUGAUAAAAAUAUUCCUUCCAUUACAUCUUUAUUUAUCACAAUCAAUUUAGUAAAAAAAAGAGAUACAACCAAAAACACUGACCAGGAACUUUGCAAUCUUUUGAGUAAAUCUUUGUUAUUUCAGUCUUAGAAAUAAUCAUCCAUGUCUAUUGAGUGGUGUGAGAACUCUGGAGGGAUUUAGGUUCACUGCCUUAUUCAGAUGCUAUGACUUAGAUGCUUAAUGACGGAUCUAAUGUAUUUAGGAUGGUUACAUUGUAUAUUUCUGGGCAUUCAAAUGAAAAGACUGAUUUCCUUCAUGGAUUAAAGAAAAAAAAAUCAGCUUACUAACAGAAGGCAUAUGGGGAAAAUGACAUUUUUUUGAAAUAAAUAAUACCACAAUAGAUAUUGAGGCUUCUUGAAGUUAUUGAAAGCGGUCUGCGUUCAUUGUUCCUAUGAUUCAUUGUUCCUAUUAACUGAUCCUGGUGCCAUAUGGUUUUGCAACAUUUUGUGGUUGGUAAAUUCUUCUCUGUUUCUUCCAGUUGUGCAUUGCACAUUGGUGAUUGGCGUGCUGAUUUCAUUUCCUUGUUCAUGCUUGGUGUAGUUGAACUUAUGUAAGUAGGAAUGCAUUUGAAAUUUAAGUUACAAUUAGUUACACGCUCAUUAAUUUUUGUCCUCUUCAAUCAAUGGUGGCAGAUGGUGGUGGUGGUAAGGGCACAUGGGGAAAACUGCUUGAUACUGAUGGUGAAUCACAUAUUGAUCGGAAUGAUCCUAACUAUGACAGUGGAGAGGAGCCAUACCAGCUUGUUGGGGCAACUAUCUCAGACCCUUUAGAUGAGUACAAGAAGGCUGUUAUUUCCAUAAUAGAGGAGUACUUCAGUACUGGUGAUGUGGAAGUGGCAGCAUCUGAUCUCAGAGAACUUGGCUCAAGCCAAUAUCAUCCUUAUUUUAUCAAGCGGCUCGUUUCCAUGGCUAUGGACCGGCAUGAUAAAGAGAAGGAAAUGGCUUCUGUUCUGCUAUCUUCUCUGUAUGCCGCUGUAAUCAGCCCAUUGCAGAUUAGGGAUGGGUUUGUCAUCCUUCUUGAGUCUGCUGAUGAUCUAGCUGUAGACAUAUUAGAUGCAGUUGACAUCCUUGCUUUGUUCAUAGCUCGUGCUGUGGUGGAUGAUAUCCUUCCUCCAGCAUUCCUCACUAGGGCAAAGAAGACCCUUCCAGAGUCCUCAAAGGGAUUUCGGGUUCUCCAAAUUGCUGAGAAGAGCUAUCUCUCAGCCCCACACCACGCAGAACUUGUGGAGAGGAGGUGGGGUGGUAGCACUCACGUCACUGUUGAGGAAGUAAAGAAAAAGAUUGCUGAUCUGUUGAGAGAAUAUGUGGAGAAUGGGGAUGCUUUUGAGGCAUGUAGGUGCAUAAGGGAAUUGGGGGUUUCGUUUUUUCAUCAUGAGGUUGUCAAGAGGGCCUUAAUUCUUGGCAUGGAGACUCGUACUGCCGAACCACUUAUACUAAAGCUGUUAAAGGAGGCUUCCGAGGAAGGCUUGAUAAGUUCCAGUCAAAUGUUGAAGGGUUUUACCAGGCUAACUGAGAGCCUUGAUGACCUUGCUCUUGACAUUCCAUCUGCAAAAAGCUUGUUCCAAUUCCUUGUUCCCAAGGCUAUUGCUGAGGGAUGGCUAGAUGCUUCCUUCUUGAAGACCUCUAGUAAAGAUGGGCAGGGACCAGCUGAAGACAAAAAGUUGAGAAGAUAUAAGGAGGAGGUUGUGACAAUAAUUCAUGAGUAUUUUCUCUCAGAUGACAUUCCUGAACUAGUCCGAAGUCUUGAAGAUCUUGGCAUGCCUGAGUUUAACCCAAUUUUCCUGAAAAAACUCAUCACCCUGGCUAUGGAUAGGAAGAAUAGGGAGAAAGAAAUGGCGUCCGUUUUGCUUUCAGCUCUUCACAUUGAGAUUUUUUCAACUGAAGAUAUUGUUAAUGGCUUUGUCAUGCUUGUGGAAUCUGCAGAAGAUACAGCACUUGACAUUUUGGAUGCUUCGAAUGAACUUGCUCUCUUUCUGGCAAGGGCUGUGAUUGAUGAUGUCUUGGCUCCACUUAAUCUAGAGGAGAUAAGCAGCAAAUUGCCUCCAAAUUGCAGCGGGAGUGAGACUGUGCACAUGGCUCGAUCACUUAUUGCUGCACGUCAUGCAGGUGAGAGGAUCCUUAGGUGUUGGGGAGGUGGGACUGGGUGGGCUGUGGAGGAUGCAAAGGACAAGAUACAGAAGCUAUUAGAGGAGUAUGAAAGUGGGGGAGAUGUCAGUGAGGCUUGCCAAUGCAUCCGUGAUCUUGGGAUGCCCUUUUUUAAUCAUGAGGUGGUGAAGAAGUCGUUGGUCAUGGCUAUGGAGAAGAAGAAUGAUAGGAUGCUUGAUCUGCUACAAGAGUGUUUCAAUGAAGGGUUGAUUACUAUCAAUCAGAUGACCAAAGGCUUCACCCGCAUAAAGGACGGGCUUGAUGAUCUAGCUCUUGACAUUCCAAAUGCAAAGGAGAAAUUCAGUUUCUAUUUGGAGUAUGCCAGUAAGAAGGGUUGGCUCCAAGCAUUUUUUGGGUCAUCUGUGGCAGAUACAUUCUCAACCCUGGUUGCAGCAACUUGAGAUGAACAUAUAUUUCCGUUAGUUUCUCUCAUCUGUUGUUGCCCAGUCCCUCCGUGUACUGCUUAAUCGUCCCUGUGCUUCUAACGUGGAUAGAUAGAUAUGGGACGUAUGAAUUCCGUCUGAUGUUCCUUUUCUUUUUUUUUUGUUUAGUGGUCAUCUGGUGGAGAUUGUUGUGAUCCCAACCAAUGUACAAAGUUGUUUCGUUCCUAGUAACAUAACUUUAGGAGUAAGCUGCGUCGAGAAGUAUGCUGCAGGGGAGGAUAUGUCAUGCUGCUGCUGUUAUCACAUGCAAUAGCAAUAUGAUGUUUAGGAGGAUAUUAGUUUCUCUUUCCCCAUCACGAGUCCUCAAUGGUUUUAUCUUUUAUUUUUAUUUUGCUAUGGUCCUUCAUUAUCCUAUUUAUUAAGUUGCGAUCGGUAUUUAUUUAUUUAUUUCUUUCAUUUCUCUUUUUAUUAGAUAAUACAUUAGAAGUCAAAGUACACUUGAUUUUUU
rnacentral:misc_RNA from 1 species